GGUGAACGCUGGCGGUGUGCCUAAUACAUGCAAGUCGAGCGACAAGACGAGAAGAUCGCUCCUCUACCGUUAGCGACGGACGGGCGAGUAACAAGUAGAUAACAAUCUACUAUGUCUGGGAUGACUUCGGGAAACAGGUGAUACUACUGGCUCAUAUAUCCAACGGCAUGGUUCAGUAGAGCAAGACGGCUUUCCUGUCUGUUAUAGCUGGAUCCGCGUCGCAUUAGCUAGUUGGUAAGGUAACGGCUUACCAAGGCGACGAUGCGUAGCUGACCUGAGAGGAUGAUCAGCCACACUGGAACUGAGACACGGUCCAGACUCCUACGGGAGGCAGCAGUGGGGAAUCUUCGACAAUGGGCGAAAGCCUGACGCAGCAACACCGCGUGGGUGAUGAAGGUCUUCGGAUCGUAAAGCUCUGUUGUUAGGAAAGAACAGAUGUGUGUUUAUCUAUGCACGUCUUGACGGUACCUAAACAGAAAGCCACGGCUAACUUCGUG
rnacentral:rRNA from 1 species